GAAAGUGUAGUUGAAUUACAACAUUAACCUGCAAAAUUAAAAGUAUACAUCUAUAUCACUUUCU
rnacentral:tRNA from 1 species